rnacentral:rRNA from 1 species
GACGAACGCUGGCGGCGUGCUUAACACAUGCAAGUCGAACGGAAAGGCCCUGCUUUUGUGGGGUGCUCGAGUGGCGAACGGGUGAGUAACACGUGAGUAACCUGCCCUUGACUUUGGGAUAACUUCAGGAAACUGGGGCUAAUACCGGAUAGGAGCUCCUGCUGCAUGGUGGGGGUUGGAAAGUUUCGGCGGUUGGGGAUGGACUCGCGGCUUAUCAGCUUGUUGGUGGGGUAGUGGCUUACCAAGGCUUUGACGGGUAGCCGGCCUGAGAGGGUGACCGGCAAAAUGGGAAUGGGGAACGGCCCAAAAUUCUAAGGGAAGCAAGAGGUGGGAAUAUUGCACAAUGGGCGGAAGCCUGAUGCAGCAACGCCGCGUGCGGGAUGACGGCCUUCGGGUUGUAAACCGCUUUCGCCUGUGACGAAGCGUGAGUGACGGUAAUGGGUAAAGAAGCACCGGCUAACUACGUG